UACGUAGGGGGCAAGCGUUGUCCGGAUUUAUUGGGCGUAAAGCGCGUGUAGGCGGUUUGUCGCGUCUGCUGUGAAAUUUCGGGGCUCAACCCCGAACUUGCAGUGGGUACGGGCAGACUAGAGUGUGGUAGGGGAGACUGGAAUUCCUGGUGUAGCGGUGAAAUGCGCAGAUAUCAGGAGGAACACCGAUGGCGAAGGCAGGUCUCUGGGCCAUAACUGACGGCUGAGGCGACGAAAGCCAGGGGAGCAAACGGG
rnacentral:rRNA from 1 species